AGAACACCUUCCAACUCAACAUAAGGCAGCUACAGGUUGGAGUGCAAUGGCGCAAUCUUGGCUCACGACAACCUCCGCCUCCCGGGUAUAAGUGAUUCUCCUGCCUCGGCCUCCCGAGUAGCUGAGAUUACAGCCUUAAACCGAUUAAAUGAAGUCUUGACAGCCAGCAGCCUGCAUCCACUACAGAAAAAACGACACCUUGAAUCACACCUUCACUUGAAUUCAGUUGAGUUCCAGUGACUACCACCUCUGUGCUUUGUCAACUUUGGGUUGAGUCCUUUCCUGAAAACACAUCAGUAAUGAUGCAUGCCCCGCAUCCAGCUUCCCACCAAGAAGAAAAAAGAGAGGAGGAUGAGGAAAGCCAUGGAGUGAUUUACCAAAGUGCUUGUUACAGUGAAAAACACAGCCCACAGGCACUGAGGUGGGACUACAGAACCUUGCUGGACCACAUCUUUUCAGCACAUUUCUGUGACCCUCUGUUUUUGAUGGAGAAAACAACGCUACUGUUAUGAAACACAGAAUGGAGUCUUCAUUAAUCUUCCAGCA
rnacentral:lncRNA from 1 species